CCAGUGCAGCUUGUGGGGUAUUCCUUCAGAUCCUCAUGGGUUCCCAAGCAGGCAUGUUGUCCAUGCUCCUCAGGGUAUUUCAGAGAGAUAAUAGAAUACACACAGACACCAGACCAAGGCAGAAGGAGGCCGGCCGCCCAUCAUGGUGGGAAAGGGCAAGAAACAACUGGUCAUGGAGAAUGCACAGGUCUGCUGGGGAGGCAUCACCCCAAGCCCCCACCAUCAAUGAGCAGGAGAAGAGACACGAGAGGUUGGAGAAGCUCAAAAGAGAGCUCCAGAACAUAAAAAAUGCCAGAGACGAACUUCAGGGAAUCCUGGCCAACUACACUAACAAGGAUUUAAAUGACAGGAUCAACUUUGAGACAUUCAUGCUUGAGAUGCAACAUGACCAGGUGAUGACUGACCUGAAGAGAAUGCCCCAGGACAUCAGUGAGGCCUUGUCCAAGUGCAAGCAGUUGACUAAAGAAAAUCAGUUCUACUGCUUCAGGAACUGCCACCUCCUGAUUGAAACUAACCUCAUCCAGCACAAAGUCAGGAUGUUGAGGAAGGAGAACAGACAGCUGCUAAGGGAGCAGAUUGCAUUGGAAGAAU
rnacentral:lncRNA from 1 species